rnacentral:rRNA from 1 species
UGUAUAAUGGGUCAGCGACUUAUAUUCUGUAGCAAGGUUAACCGAAUAGGGGAGCCGAAGGGAAACCGAGUCUUAACUGGGCGUUAAGUUGCAGGGUAUAGACCCGAAACCCGGUGAUCUAGCCAUGGGCAGGUUGAAGGUUGGGUAACACUAACUGGAGGACCGAACCGACUAAUGUUGAAAAAUUAGCGGAUGACUUGUGGCUGGGGGUGAAAGGCCAAUCAAACCGGGAGAUAGCUGGUUCUCCCCGAAAGCUAUUUAGGUAGCGCCUCGUGAAUUCAUCUCCGGGGGUAGAGCACUGUUUCGGCAAGGGGGUCAUCCCGACUUACCAACCCGAUGCAAACUGCGAAUACCGGAGAAUGUUAUCACGGGAGACACACGGCGGGUGCUAACGUCCGUCGUGAAGAGGGAAACAACCCAGACCGCCAGCUAAGGUCCCAAAGUCAUGGUUAAGUGGGAAACGAUGUGGGAAGGCCCAGACAGCCAGGAUGUUGGCUUAGAAGCAGCCAUCAUUUAAAGAAAGCGUAAUAGCUCACUGGUCGAGUCGGCCUGCGCGGAAGAUGUAACGGGGCUAAACCAUGCACCGAAGCUGCGGCAGCGACACUAUGUGUUGUUGGGUAGGGGAGCGUUCUGUAAGCCUGUGAAGGUGGCCUGUGAGGGUUGCUGGAGGUAUCAGAAGUGCGAAUGCUGACAUAAGUAACGAUAAAGCGGGUGAAAAGCCCGCUCGCCGGAAGACCAAGGGUUCCUGUCCAACGUUAAUCGGGGCAGGGUGAGUCGACCCCUAAGGCGAGGCCGAAAGGCGUAGUCGAUGGGAAACAGGUUAAUAUUCCUGUACUUGGUGUUACUGCGAAGGGGGGACGGAGAAGGCUAUGUUGGCCGGGCGACGGUUGUCCCGGUUUAAGCGUGUAGGCUGGUUUUCCAGGCAAAUCCGGAAAAUCAAGGCUGAGGCGUGAUGACGAGGCACUACGGUGCUGAAGCGACAAAUGCCCUGCUUCCAGGAAAAGCCUCUAAGCAUCAGGUAACAUCAAAUCGUACCCCAAACCGACACAGGUGGUCAGGUAGAGAAUACCAAGGCGCUUGAGAGAACUCGGGUGAAGGAACUAGGCAAAAUGGUGCCGUAACUUCGGGAGAAGGCACGCUGAUAUGUAGGUGAAGCGACUUGCUCGUGGAGCUGAAAUCAGUCGAAGAUACCAGCUGGCUGCAACUGUUUAUUAAAAACACAGCACUGUGCAAACACGAAAGUGGACGUAUACGGUGUGACGCCUGCCCGGUGCCGGAAGGUUAAUUGAUGGGGUUAGCGGUAACGCGAAGCUCUUGAUCGAAGCCCCGGUAAACGGCGGCCGUAACUAUAACGGUCCUAAGGUAGCGAAAUUCCUUGUCGGGUAAGUUCCGACCUGCACGAAUGGCGUAAUGAUGGCCAGGCUGUCUCCACCCGAGACUCAGUGAAAUUGAACUCGCUGUGAAGAUGCAGUGUACCCGCGGCAAGACGGAAAGACCCCGUGAACCUUUACUAUAGCUUGACACUGAACAUUGAGCCUUGAUGUGUAGGAUAGGUGGGAGGCUUUGAAGUGUGGACGCCAGUCUGCAUGGAGCCGACCUUGAAAUACCACCCUUUAAUGUUUGAUGUUCUAACGUGGGCCCCUUACCGGGGUUGCGGACAGUGUCUGGUGGGUAGUUUGACUGGGGCGGUCUCCUCCUAAAGAGUAACGGAGGAGCACGAAGGUUGGCUAAUCCUGGUCGGACAUCAGGAGGUUAGUGCAAUGGCAUAAGCCAGCUUGACUGCGAGCGUGACGGCGCGAGCAGGUGCGAAAGCAGGUCAUAGUGAUCCGGUGGUUCUGAAUGGAAGGGCCAUCGCUCAACGGAUAAAAGGUACUCCGGGGAUAACAGGCUGAUACCGCCCAAGAGUUCAUAUCGACGGCGGUGUUUGGCACCUCGAUGUCGGCUCAUCACAUCCUGGGGCUGAAGUAGGUCCCAAGGGUAUGGCUGUUCGCCAUUUAAAGUGGUACGCGAGCUGGGUUUAGAACGUCGUGAGACAGUUCGGUCCCUAUCUGCCGUGGGCGCUGGAGAACUGAGGGGGGCUGCUCCUAGUACGAGAGGACCGGAGUGGACGCAUCACUGGUGUUCGGGUUGUCAUGCCAAUGGCACUGCCCGGUAGCUAAAUGCGGAAGAGAUAAGUGCUGAAAGCAUCUAAGCACGAAACUUGCCCCGAGAUGAGUUCUCCCUGACUCCUUGAGAGUCCUGAAGGAACGUUGAAGACGACGACGUUGAUAGGCCGGGUGUGUAAGCGCAGCGAUGCGUUGAGCUAACCGGUACUAAU